GGGUGCGAUUAAACUAGCACUAAUGCACAGUAUCCCAUCAGAACUCCGCAGUUAAGCGUGCUUGGGUGAGAGUAGUACUAGUAUGGGUGACCUCUUGGGAAGUCCUCGUGUUGCACCCC
rfam:Corchorus capsularis cultivar CVL-1 contig15106, whole genome shotgun sequence.